UCCGGGAUCGUCUAAUGGUAGGACUGCGGAAUUUGGAUCCGCCAAUCUUGGUUCGAAUCCAAGUCCCGGAA
rnacentral:tRNA from 1 species